rnacentral:rRNA from 1 species
GAUCAUGGCUCAGGACGAACGCUGGCGGCAUGCCUAACACAUGCAAGUCGAACGGGGGGUAGCAAUACCCUAGUGGCGAACGGGUGAGUAACACAUAAGCAAUCUGCCCUUCACAGGGGGAUAACAGCGGGAAACUGCUGCUAAUACCGCAUAAGACCACGGUACCGCAUGGUACAGGGGUAAAAACGAAUCAGUGGUGAAGGAUGAGCUUAUGUCCCAUUAGCUAGUUGGUGAGAUGACAGCCCACCAAGGCGACGAUGGGUAGCCGACCUGAGAGGGUGAUCGGCCACACUGGAACUGAGACACGGUCCAGACUCCUACGGGAGGCAGCAGUGGGGAAUAUUGGGCAAUGGAGGAAAAACCUCUUACCCAGCAAUGCCGCGUGAGUGAAGAAGGUCUUCGGAUUGUAAAGCUCUUUGAUUGGGGACGAAGAAAGUGACGGUACCCAAAGAACAAGCCCCGGCUAACUACGUGCCAGCCGCUGC